UGGAAAGGAACUGAGAUGGCCAAAGA
rnacentral:piRNA from 2 species